rnacentral:rRNA from 1 species
CGAGCGUUAAUCGGAAUAACUGGGCGUAAAGGGCACGCAGGCGGUGACUUAAGUGAGAUGUGAAAGCCCCGAGCUUAACUUGGGAAUUGCAUUUCAUACUGGGUCGCUAGAGUACUUUAGGGAGGGGUAGAAUUCCACGUGUAGCGGUGAAAUGCGUAGAGAUGUGGAGGAAUACCGAAGGCGAAGGCAGCCCCUUGGGAAUGUACUGACGCUCAUGUGCGAAAGCGUGGGGAGCAAACAGGAUUAGAUACCCUGGUAGUCCACGCUGUAAACGAUGUCGAUUUGGGGAUUGGGCUUUAAGCUUGGUGCCCGUAGCUAACGUGAUAAAUCGACCGCCUGGGGAGUACGGCCGCAAGGUUAAAACUCAAAUGAAUUGACGGGGGCCCGCACAAGCGGUGGAGCAUGUGGUUUAAUUCGAUGCAACGCGAAGAACCUUACCUACUCUUGACAUCC